rnacentral:rRNA from 1 species
AUGAACGCUGGCGGCGUGCCUAAUACAUGCAAGUCGAGCGAACGGACGAGAAGCUUGCUUCUCUGAUGUUAGCGGCGGGCGGGUGAGUAACACGUGGAUAACCUACCUAUAAGACUGGGAUAACUUCGGGAAACCGGAGCUAAUACCGGAUAAUAUUUUGAACCGCAUGGUUCAAAAGUGAAAGACGGUCUUGCUGUCACUUAUAGCUGGAUCCGCGCUGCAUUAGCUAGUUGGUUAGGUAACGGCUUACCAAGGCAACGAUGCAUAGCCGACCUGAGAGGGUGAUCGGCCACACUGGAACUGAGACACGGUCCAGACUCCUACGGGAGGCAGCAGUAGGGAAUCUUCCGCAAUGGGCGAAAGCCUGACGGAGCAACGCCGCGUGAGUGAUGAAGGUCUUCGGAUCGUAAAACUCUGUUAUUAGGGAAGAACAUAUGUGUAAGUAACUGUGCACAGCUUGACGGUACCUAAUCAGAAAGCCACGGCUAACUACGUG